AACCUAGCACACCUGCGGUGUGUACCUGCGGAAGGAUCAUUACACAACAAAAUAUGAAGGUCUGGCUUCGCGGCCGGCUGAAGUAUUUUUUUUCACCCAUGUCUUUUGCGCACUUGUUGUUUCCUGGGCGGGUUCGCCCGCCACCAGGACCAAACCAUAAACCUUUUUUUUAUGUAGUUGCAAUCAGCGUCAGUAAAAACAAUGUAAUUAUUACAACUUUUAACAACGGAUCUCAGAUCG
rnacentral:misc_RNA from 1 species